GGAAUACUGAGGCUUUGUCCAGAGGCAAGAAUUGUCUCAGUCUAGAUAAUCUAAAGGGCCACUAGGAAUACUUUUUUUUUUUUUUAAGGGAGAAGCCUGGGUCAGAAUCUGGUGCUAGAACAGAGACAUUGUAAAGUGAAGCCAUUUACAAGAUUGUGACAGUGGAGGUGAGGAUCUCCUUGACCUCAUCCCUUCCUCUGAUAAGAUGAGAGUAGAAACUCAAAACAAGUCUGGCAUUUGGAUUGGUGAUUUGGAAGAUCAGCUAAAUUAAACUGCUUUCUCCAUAACUUUGUAAAUUCUUAGAGCAAAUAUUGUGAAGACAACAUUUGUCAUCAAGAACAAUGUCAUGUCUUUGUCAUUAUAUAUCAAACAUUUCCUGAA